GGGUCUGUACCUCAGUGGUAGAGAGCAUCGGCUUGCCAUACAGAAGGUCCCAGGUUCAAUCCCUGGCAUCUCCA
rnacentral:tRNA from 1 species